ACGAACGCUGGCGGCACGCCUAACACAUGCAAGUCGAACGGAGUUUUAGAUGCUUGCAUCUGAAACUUAGUGGCGGACGGGUGAGUAACACGUGAGCAACCUGCCUUCCAGAGGGGGAUAACGUUUGGAAACGAACGCUAAUACCGCAUAACAUAUAUUUAUCACAUGGUAGAUAUAUCAAAGGAGCAAUCCGCUGGGAGAUGGGCUCGCGUCCGAUUAGAUAGUUGGCGGGGUAACGGCCCACCAAGUCAACGAUCGGUAGCCGGACUGAGAGGUUGAACGGCCACAUUGGGACUGAGACACGGCCCAGACUCCUACGGGAGGCAGCAGUGGGGGAUAUUGCACAAUGGGGGAAACCCUGAUGCAGCGAUGCCGCGUGAGUGAAGACGGCCUUCGGGUUGUAAAGCUCUGUCGCAGGGGACGAAAAUGACGGUACCCUGCAAGAAAGCUCCGGCUAACUACGUGCCAGCAGCCGCGGUAAUACGUAGGGAGCAAG
rnacentral:rRNA from 1 species